rnacentral:rRNA from 1 species
UUUUUUGUGGAGGGUUCGAUUCUGGCUCAGGAUGAACGCUGGCGGCGUGCUUAACACAUGC